ACAACAGCAAAAUUGCAUUUCGAUUUCGACUCGAAAAGAGGAUAAAAUUAAUCCGUUGUUUAU
rnacentral:tRNA from 2 species